UUGCAUUCGUUUAAUUGCAUGUAACCCUGGGCUGCUAGAUGUUUGCUACUACGUAGUGCGGUCAUGACCUGCCUGAAUGCAAGCAUCUUGGGUCCCAGCAGGUUUUUCAUGGACAAAUUAAACACACAUCGAACUCCUUGUCUCACCAAAACAGAUGGAAUAAAGGUCUGUGCUCUUAAUCAGUUCUAGUGAAUUCAACAGAAACUACUUCCAAACAGACUUGCAUGAGGCCAAUCUGCAAAUGCGCUGAACUGUAGGUUGCAAAAUCAUAUACAUUAUCUUAAUCAUCCCUAUGACAGUUUCCUGUGGUAGGUGAGUCUUAUGGAAAAGGAAGCAAAAGAGGAAACCUACGUUGGCUUAAGCUUGUGUAGCACAAGGAAGCACAGUUUCUUGGAAUGAAAAGGGCAGAAAUCAUGGCUGUUUAGGGGUGUGUGUGGAAAAUAAAACAAGUUGACUGAUACACAAAGUUAAAUAAUUAGUGAAAUCACUACUCAGGGCAGUUUACAUAACAAAAACGUAAUAUUUGUGGCAAGCCUCCUGAACACACAAUGUCAUUUCAUUUCACCCAGGGUGGUCCUCUAAAGGUUUGAUGUCUCAUCAGCCGCAGCCAGCUUUCCAACAGAGAGGGCUACUGGAGGGUUACCAUUCAACUACAUCUGGAUUGGGCUGCCCUUACCUGUGCAUCUCUCAGUACAAUGAGGCUCUGAUCGUUUGCCAGUAAAUUGUUUGACGGGUUGCUGAGGACCUGAUUGUGCGGGGGAAGGAUGAAGAGAAAUUUUGCUCCAAGAACACCAUCUUUCCAGAAGGAUCACUGAGCAGUGGUGAAGUGAAAGCAUCCAUCUGUCUGUCUGUCUGUCUGUCUGUCUGUCU
rnacentral:lncRNA from 1 species